UCGCCUGUUUAUCAAAAACAUGUCUUUUCGAAAAUAAUUUAAAGUCAAAUCUGCUCAAUGAAAAUUUUAAAUAGCUGCAGUAAUUUAACUGUACAAAGGUAGCAAAAUCAAUAGUUUAUUAAUUAUAAACUGGUAUGAAGGAUUAAAUGAAAUAUAAAUUGUCUCAAUAUUAUAAAUUUAAAUUUCUUUUUUUUUAAAAAAGAAAAAAUAAUUUUAAAAGACGAGAAGACCCUAUAGAUUUUUAUAAAAAUUAAAUUUUAAUUUAUAAUUAUAAAAAGUUAUUUAAUUUUUAUUUAAUUGGGGUGAUUAUUAAAUUUAAUAAACUUUAAUAAAUUUAUACAUUAAUUUAUGAGUAAUAUUUUUUUAAUUUAAAAAUAUAAAUUAAAAUACCUUAGGGAUAACAGCGUAAUUUUUUUUGAGAUUAAUAUUGAUAAAAAAGUUUGCGACCUCGAUGUUGAAUUAAAAUAAAAUUUUAAAUUAUAAUUUAAAAAUUUUUAGUCUGUUCGACUAUUAAAAUUUUACGUGAUCUGAGUUCAGA
rnacentral:rRNA from 1 species